rnacentral:rRNA from 1 species
AACGAACGCUGGCGGCAUGCCUAACACAUGCAAGUCGAACGAGAGCUUCGGCUCUAGUGGCGCACGGGUGCGUAACGCGUGGGAAUCUGCCCUUGGGUUCGGAAUAACAGUUGGAAACGACUGCUAAUACCGGAUGAAGUCGAUAAGACCAAAGAUUUAUCGCCCGAGGAUGAGCCCGCGUCGGAUUAGCUAGUUGGUGGGGUAAAGGCCUACCAAGGCGACGAUCCGUAGCUGGUCUGAGAGGAUGAUCAGCCACACUGGGACUGAGACACGGCCCAGACUCCUACGGGAGGCAGCAGUGGGGAAUAUUGGACAAUGGGCGCAAGCCUGAUCCAGCAAUGCCGCGUGAGUGAUGAAGGCCUUAGGGUUGUAAAGCUCUUUUACCCGGGAAGAUAAUGACUGUACCGGGAGAAUAAGCCCCGGCUAACUCCGUGCCAGCCGCCGCGGUAACAC